rnacentral:lncRNA from 10 species
AUCUGCCACAAUUUAAAACACUUACUCAGGUGCCUGCUCAGUGCCUAUGCACUAAGUCAAAGAGGCACAGGCCAGCUGUCCAGAAGCGGCCAGAAACGCUGGAACUCACCCACACAAAGGAUAAACAAGCAGCUGAGCAAAUUCUGAUAGAAUGGUAAUGUCAAGCAAAUAAAGAGAAUGUAAAUGAGGAACUGGUGAGGAGGCCACCCUUUGAGAAGAUGGAGGUGAGAGGGGAAAGAGAGGAGUUAGCACACGCCAGGCAACGGAGUGGGGGUAAUCACUCACUCUGUCUCUCUCCAUCAGUCUGGGGUUGCCAGGGUCUUUGAAUGGCAGAGAAAAGAGAGUGGAGAGAACUGGGAUGGGGGGACACAGGGCCCUGGCCCUCAGUGACUGCUCCCCAAAGGCAUUAAUUAGAUAUCACUGCAAAAUAGCAAAACCAGAGUAAAACCUCCCCCAGGACUUCACUCACACAAUGACCAGGCUCUUUCACCAAGCCCUCCCAGGUCCCUCCCUCCCUGCUUUUACAUCUUACAUAAGGAGGCUUCUAUUGUGCUAAUAUCCAAGGAAAAAAGUGACUAAGGGUGAGUGUGCGACUAAGGAAAAUAAAGAAGGAAGAGAGCCUCCAAGGCUUGCCCCCACCCCCAGUUUCUUGGCUCACUCCACGAUUCCGUCAGUUCGCAGGCUCUGACAUAAAAGGCAGGAAGCUACACACGCUAAACAAAGCUCCUUAGAUGUCAGGAAAUUAACCUGGGAAAUCGGAGCCAAGAGAGAUUAAAGGCAUUGCAGGCCGAGUUCAAAAACCUCUAUGGCGUUACAUCAAAAGCUGUUUUCUGGGCACCCCAGGCUCGGCUCUGCCAAACCGUACAUCCCGAAAAACCUGGCCACAGGGCUGGCACGCCUGUGUGGUGUGCCUUUUCCCUGCCACAGACUGAAGCCUCACUCAGAUCUACAGCUUUUGACUCUUCCUGUCAUAGGAGUCUAAGCCCUGCCUGCCGUAGGCAAGUCUGCCCUGAGAAGAGCAGCUUGCUGCCCUGGAUUCCUUAUAAAGGAGGAAGAUCGCACACCUAACCUCAGAGGGGGUCCAAUGAGUGGCCCCAGGGAAAGGAAGAAAGUCCUUAAAAGGAGGAAGAGACCUGCUAGCUUCAGCUGCACUCAUACACACACAAAAAAAAAGAGAAAGAAAGGAAGAAAGGAAGAGAAAGAAAGAAAGAAAGGAAGAGAAAGAAAGACAGAAAGAAAGAAAGAAAGAAAGAAAGAAAGAAAGAAAGAAAGAAGGAAAGAAGGAAGGAAGGAAGGAAAAAAGAAAAGAGAAAAGAAAAAGAAAAGAGAAGAAAAGAAAAGAAAAAAAAGAGAAAAAGAGAAAAGAAAAGAAGUGAGGCAGCCUGGGAUCCCUGACCCUCCCAGCUAAGAAAACAAACCGCCUUGUGGAAGGUGAAAGGGUCAGAGCAGAACAAACCAGAGAAUUGUGAGAAUCAUUGUUUAUGUCCGCAUCAAUAAUACUGUCUCUUUGAGUCUCAGUUUCAUUAUCUUUACAAUGAACGUAGCUUCUAGCUAAGAUAUCCUGGAAUUCUUGAACAAUCUUAACAUUUAAAUGGAAUGAAAUUGUCAGCAGGCUUUGUACAACACUCGUUGUAUCUCCAGCAGUGAGUGCUAACCCCCUCUUACAGAGGAGAAAACUGAGGCCCCAUGUCACAUAUCUGGUAGAGAGAAGAGCCCAUAAUGAACUAGUGGUUCCUGGCCCCGGUGAUUCCGGGCCCAGUGCUCUAGGAGGGCAAUGGUGGAACAAUAGUAUUGUUCCUAAACUGCAUCAAAGGACAUUUGCAAGAAUAAGCUCAAAGUGUUGCUAUUCCUGUUUUUUUUUUUUUUUAAUUGGAAAGCAAGUGAAGGUCAGAAGGGAGCCAUUUAUUGUACCAGCCUUUUGGGAAAUGAAACACUCAGAUAUAUAAGCCCCAUGGUGGCCUCAUAAAGAGUGCAAAAAUCUCUUCUCAAGUCUAUAAAAGUGAAGUUAGUUCUAUUAACUGGAAAGGAAAUCUGUGAGAGAAUGUGACUCAUUUGUUCUCCACCCAUAAUACCUUCAAGAACCUGCCCUGUCCCUAAUCUGAGUGGGGUGGCUCCCAGAGGCCACAUGAUGCCCCUCCAGGGCUGAUGGGGCCACAGUCACCCGGCUGAGAGAAAAUCAGAGUCACUCUUCCACAGGAAUUCUACUGAGACUUAGAGAGUACAGCCAAGGAAUCUGUGAGCCUGAAUCCAUGCAACGGCUGUAUUAGUAAAAGCUCCUCCGAGGAACACAGUCAAUAGGAUGUAGUUCAUUGUGUAUAUAUAUAUAUGAUAUAAAUAUGCAUCAUGUGUGUGUGGGAGGGGGAGAGAGAGAGAGAGAGAGAAAUUUUUUAUUAAGAAUUGAUUCACAUGCUUAUGGAGGUUGGCUACCAAGUCCCAAGAUCUGCAGGUGGCAAGCUGGAGACCCAGGAGAGACCUACCCGAAAUCCAAAGGCAGGAAAAAAGGCAAUGGCUGACAGGCUAGGGGAAGUCUCUCUUCCUCAGGGGAGGGUCAGCCUGUUUGUUCUAUGCAGAGCUUCAACUGAUGGGAUGAGGCCCACCCGCGUUAGGAAGGACCAUCUUCUUCACCCAGCCUGCACAUUCACAUGUUCCUCUCUUCCAGAAACACCCUCACAGACACCUACAGAAUAAUGUUGACCAACUCUCUGGGUACCCCAUGGCUCAGUCAAGUUGACACAUAAAAUUAACCAUCAUCAUCACAUAGACAGGGGCCAGGUCAGCACAGCCACAGCAGCAAGGCAGAAGGAGGCAAGACUGAGUGAGGAGGCUGCAGGGUUGCUGGGAAAGCUAGCUUCAAGAGAGGAACAUGGGACAUUCUCAGUGAGAAAUGGAGAUGAGAGACAGACAGGGGUACCAGAGACUGGGAGCCUUUCCAGUGCACAAGAUUCCCCUUUAUCCUUCCACUCCCCAGUUCUAAACUGAACUGCUUUGAGUGGGUUUCUCUUUUGGAUAACUGAACAACCUCUGAUUAGAACAAGAACAUCGUGGAUCUCCUUGAAUUUUAUUCUCUAACUUUAGCCCAAUUCUCUAAUUUUAGACCAGCCAUUUAUCAAGCAAUAAACUAUACUGCAUGUCAUGUACUGCCAGGUUAAAUACCACAUACUCUUCGUUCUUAGAUCAUUUACAUUUAUGGUUUUGACUUCUUGCAAGCAACCACGUGCUUAAAAUAUUUCCAUGAGGGUUUGAUAAAGUAUUUUGAUCUGUAAGGCUUAGGUUUAAUGAGUGAGCUACUCAAUUCCUGAGGGGUCCCAUCCAUCUGCCCAGCAUCCACAUCAUCAUGCCUUUUUUGUUUUCUACUCACUGUUCUUUCAGCAUUUUCUGGGGGAUGUCAAAUGUUAAGAGGUUUUCCUUAAUUUGAGAAUGUGUGACGGCCCAGUCUGAAUGCCUUGCAAAAAGCAUAGGUCUACUAUACAAUGUUACUGACAUAACUUUUAGAAAUCUCUGUCUCUUCUCCUAUGAGCUCUUUGAAGGACAUGACCCAUGCCUUACACAAUUUUGUGGCCCUUAUACCUUGAAUACAGUACCUGGGACCUCAUAGGCAAGCAAUGCAUUUUUUGGUUAAUUCUCUCAAAUAGUUCUCAUAAAAAGCCCACCAAGUAGAUCACAUUAUUCCCUGUUGCAUUAAUGUGUUUAAACUAAGCGAUGCUACAACAAUGUACAACCCCAAAAAUCUAAGCAUUUGCCUCAACAAAGGUUUGUUUCUCACUCAUGUCACACAUGUAUGAUGGGUCAGCUACAGCCCUUGUCCAUGCCUUCUUUGCUCCAGGACUCAGUAACAGAGAGAAAUGGAGAUAGCAGAACCACAAUGUCUCUUAAAGCAUCUAUACAAUAGUGGCACAAUUCCUCAUACUCACUUUUGCCAGCCAAAGUAAAUCUCACAGCCAAGCCUGACGUCAAUAGGGCAGGGAUAUAUAGUCCUUCGCCAGCAGGAGGGAGGGGUGCCAGAAAUCACAUGGCCACACCUAGUACAAUGCGACAAGGAUGCAUAAUCUUCCCCCAGAGACAGCAAAAUGAGAGUGCUAGUACUACACAGCACACCGUCUCCUAAAGAAACUGAGGGGAAGCAAUCCGCCUGAUCAAGUAGCUCAUUAGUGGCAGAAUCAGCCUUUAAACAUCGUCAGACUCCAGGUUUGAGGAUUCCUUCCAGCACACCACAGCUGUUUCUAGGUCUCACUCUGGGACAGAGGCACCUGCCCUGAUCCACGCUUUCUGCCACUCUCCAGGAAUAUUCACGUCAAGAUGUCCCACUCAAACAUUUGGCCCUUGAAUGUUUUAUUCAUAAGGAUCAUAUGUCCAAAGGAAUCUAAGCAAGCCAAGUCAGACAAAAUUAACAAGCGUAAAUUAAGGAAUGUAAUAGAGCCAACAUUGAAAUUCUCAGUAGAUGGAGUCAUUUAAAACAUUUUUUUAGUUUAACCAGACUGAAGAUCAAAAGGGGGUUGGUGGCACCUGAGAAGAACAAGAAGCUGUCACCACCCCUUGCCCCGGGAGCAGAAGAGAGAUGAAUGACAGCGCUGUCUGCUUUCAGCACUUCAGCGUGGCGUCAGCUGUGUCUCUCUGGCCAUUGGUCAAUUGCAUCCUGCAGUAGCUGGAGUGAGGGAUCUGGGGAGGACAGGGACUAAUGCCCAGGAAAAGCCUGGCACCAAUCAUUUCAAAAGGGUCUUAACCAUGACCUGUUCAGCAUUUCCAGAGUUAAUUAGUCCCAUCACGACGAACAUCACCCAGUCCCAAAUGGGCACCCUGGUUGCCUGUGGUAAGUGACUUAUUUAUUUGCCUCUCUCUGGCCAGCAAGUAGCUUUGUUCAAGAAAAAAAAAAAAAAAAAAAAAAAACCUGACCACAUACAGAUCCUCAAUCUAGAAAAGAAAUCAGAAUUCACUGUUUUUUCUGAAUCACUUAAUUUCCCUUAAGUUGAAUAGAUGACAUGUUUGGCCUUCAGACGGUGUGGAUUAUGAAAAGUCAAGCACUCUAACACUUGGCAGCAGAGGCUUCAUGGAAUACCUACUCCCCACCUCUGCCAAUAACAUUUUUAAGGAGAUUCGGUUUGAUUAAACUAUACAAGGUAAAUAAUGAAUCCAGCCUGCCCAGGAUAUAUCAGGUUGCAUAGUGUGAUGAAACACAUACCAUCCUGAAUGUUCUUCCAAAAGAACAUGUACAGAAAAUGCUGUCCUUCUGCCAGAAUACAGGCUCCUUGCCAACCCCCACCACUCUCCACCUUGAGACCAAACACUCAGCAAGCUGAAGCUUGCAGGCCACGGUGACUGGCUCCAUGCUGCCUUGGGAAGCCCUACAUGACCUCUACAUGGUCCUUCUUCAGUAUGUGAAGUACAGAGGCAACACCAGGACAUUUUGAAGGGCAAAAGAAGGUUCAAUGGGGCAAUUUCCAAGGCAUCUUGCUCCACUGCUGGACCUGAUACUGGGGAGCUGACCAUCUAGCAGGUGACGUAUGGAUGGAUGAAGCAUCUUAGGACAUCUAAAGAAAGAGAUCACUCCUCCAUACUGAUCCUAAAGUUGACCUCCAGAUAACAUUCUGUCACAUGCAUGUGCACCAGAGAUGGGGAGAACACACAGAAUGGGAAGAACCACAACUGUUUAGGUGCAUGAAUUCUACAAUUUGUAAAAACUCAUUGUUUUUCACCUAGUAUAUGUAAGAAUUGAAUAAUAACACAGAGAAAUAAAUUCUAGCAUUAAAGAAUAAACCAGAAAUCUCCUUAAAGGAACACAAGUAACAAAGCCUGGCAGGGGUGGGAAACAGCAGAAAUUACCACAUUUUGCUUGGAUCUUGAAAAUUGUGAAUUCUCAGUGAAGUCCAAUUUUCACUUUUUAAUAAUGGAGCUCUAUAACAUCUUAAAACUCUGGGUUUAUGUAUUUUUAUUAUCAACUCUAUAAAUUCAAUAAAGAAGUGGAGUAAAGGUUCAGGACAAGAAGAAGGAGAAAAGAACAGUUAAAAAUUUGGGAAAUACUAGCACUUCAUUCUUUACCAAGUUGUCACUCUAUCACUGCAAGCGUGAGGAUUGGUGAAAAGUAUUAAGCAGACUAAGAUUGCACCCCAGAGAGCCCAGGCUUAUACAACCAGCACACUUCCCCCACUAACUGACAUACUCAACUAAUAACUACUGAAUGUUGCCCAUUGGCCAGCCGCAUCCAACCCUUAUCCCACUGCAUCCUCAAAUCUGCCACCUUACAGAUGAAGAAAUGGAAAUGUAAACAAGUUAGGUGACUAAGAACAGAGUGUAAUGAGCAUCGUGGUUGACUCCCUGCCAUUCAUGCACAUCAUGCUAAUAUAAAGUAAUCAGGCUACAUGAUCCCCAGCCAAGAAUGAGUUCAAGAAUAUUCCUGGGACAUAUUUCUGCUGGAAGUCUCCCAGGGAAAGUUUCCCUUUCCUGAGAGCGGGCUCCCCAGUCAGAGAUCUCUCUCUUCUGGUCUAGCAACAAUGUGAAUGCAUUCUGCUCCCGAGGAGAAUAACACCGAGGAUGGCAAACAGGCAAGGGGGAAAGAUGGCAAGCGUCCUUGAUGACACCACUUAGCUGCCAACCCCACCAACCCACAGCUAGCCCAACUUCUGGACUUCGUGUUAUGAGAUAAUAAAUUUCCUAAGCAUCUGUGCUGGGAUGAGUCAGGUUCUCUUUCAUUUUCAUCAAAAGCAUCUUGGCUGAUACAAAAAGCCAGGAUCCAAACCCAGGUCUGUGUGAUUACCAAGAACCUACUCAUUCCAAGAGUUUUCUAGUCUGUCUCUGGUAUGCAUAAAGUCCCGAAGGGUUUCCAAGUCAACAGCUGCAGUGGUCCUGGAGUCAGACAGACUUGGACUAAAUCCCAGAUCUGCCACUAAUUAGCUGGGUGAUUGUGGGCAAAUUACCUCUCCUUUUUAUGCCUGUUACCUCAUCUGAAAAAUGGGGAUAAUCAUUGCACCUGCCACAAAGAGCUGUUUGAAGACCAAAGGAAAUUUCCACACAGUCGGUGCUCAGUGAUCAUUAGUUUUCAUGAGCAGGGGAACUGAAUGAUUUUUGGUGGCUAGAUUCUUUUGAUCAGAAUCUUUGUAAUGUUUUGAAUAGAGUAACAUUUACUUUCUCCUGACAUAUCACAUCUAUGCCAAAAUAAAAAUACAAUGUGGCCAGGCGCGGUGGCUCACACCUGUAAUCCCAGCACUUUGGGAGGCCGAGGUGGGUGGAUCACCUGAGGUCAGGAGUUCGAGACCAGCCUGGCCAACAUGGUGAAACCCCGUCUCCAUUAAAAAUACAAAAAUUUGUUGGGCAUGGUGGCAAUCUGUAAUCCCAGCUACUCAGGAGGCUGAGGCAGGAGAAUCGCUUGAACCUGGGAGGCGGAGGUUGCAGUGAGCCGAGAUUGUGCUAUUGCACUCCAGCUGGGCAACAGAGCGAGGCUCCAUCUCAAAAAAAAAAAAAAUGUUUUCUUAAUGUUUGGCCUUGUCUGAGCUUUUGGCUUUUUAAUUAGAAAAUGCCUCAUUCCUUAUUGAAAGAACACAUCAUUCAAAAAAAUAUUUGAAAUGUCACCCAUAGUAUCAUGCUACCUAAUUAAACAAUUUUUGUUUUUUGAUAUUACCUCUGGCAUGUAAAAUGCACAUACCUACAAUUAUAGUGAACAUACUGUUUUGCUUCCUAUUAUUUUCACUUAAAUUAUAGCAUAUAUUGACAUGUUCUUUAUAAUUAUUUGCCUUAAUAGCUUUAUAAGAUUGAUAUAAUUUACUAUAUAUUCCCCCAGGAUUAAUAUUUUUGACAUAAAUUGCUUUCUUAUUUUUUGUCUUAGAGAUGACGCAGCAGUGAUCAUUUUGGCUUAUAUAUUUUGUUUUCUGUGCAUUAUUUCCUAAAGAGAAAAUUCCUAGGCAUGGAAUUCUGGGUCUAGGGCUAUGAAUUGUCUUAGUGCCUCCUGCUACAUAAUUCUCUCCAAAAGGAAUGUUCCAGUUUGUCAUGUGAACUUAAUCUUAACUACUCAAGACUGAAAUUGAGUUCCUCUAAGCAGUUACUUGGUUUGAAAUAUCACAUGAGCCUUUAUACUUUGGGGAAAUCAGUAUUUUGAUUGCCUUGCCAUGGGUUUCAAGCUUUAUAAGUGAAAUUCUGCUUUCUUCACUUGAGGGACUAAAAGUUCCCUCUUGAACCAAUCAGUCUUAUUUUUCAAAGGCUGUGAACUUUUAAAAGUCUGUCUGGUUUUAUCUCCCUAUUUUUCUUCAUGACUCUGACUUAAUUAUCAUAGACCCCCAAGGAUGCCUAAAUGCCUCAAGGACACCAUUUUAAAUGGAUGAUCAAACCCAACUUCCUACUUCUCUGUGAGAGGCACAUUUCUAAUCUGGGAGUGAGUAGUACAAUCACUCUGUCCAGACGGAGUAACACCGGUUUCCUAUAGCAAAAGCCUAGGUCCUUGGAAAACCACUGACUGCUUCAUGAAUUCCUUGGACAUUAAUUGGUGAAGUAACUAAGAAAAAUGCACCCCACACAAAGUUUAUUGUGGACCCCUCCUCAUUCUCCCAUGCAGCAAAAACAACUAAGCUUCUUUUCCCUUUGAGCAGGACAGUGGGUUUGGCUGUGCCAGGAUGAGUCUCCCGGGGGUAGAGAAAGCCUGAGUAUUUUUCUCUGGUGCUAAAUUUACCUGACUCCAGGGCAGAUGCCUCCAAGUCAUAGGCAAGGGGGUUAACACACUUGGAUGCUCCUAAAGGGACUUUGUCCAGCCUGCUGUGAGGUCUUUCCACCUUCUCAUGUUUCUAACAUGACCAUAAAAUCAAAUCUAAAUGCAAACAUUAAAAUGCAAGGCACUAUGACUAGGUCUAGGGUAGUCAUUCAAGUGAUGUGGAGCAGGCUUAUGUUUUUUUCUCCCUCCAGAUUAUCAUAGACAUGGGAACACAACAUUUAAACGCCCUGGUAGAAUUUCAAAAGUAUGUCUAGAGAUCCUAAUGGAGUCACAAACCCCAGAUUAUGACACACAUCAAGUUCAAGGGUCUAGAAACUUUUUCUGGAAAAGGUCAGAUAGUAAAUAAUUUAGACUUUGGGGGCCAUAUGGUCUUUGUUCUAACCAAUUCUACCAGCAUGCAAGCAGCCAUAGGCAUUUGGUAAGCAAAUGGGGCACAGAAUUUUUUAUUUCUUGUAGAGACAGGGUCUUGCUAUGUUGCCCAGCCAUGUUCCAAUAAAACUUUAUUAACAAACACAAGCACUGGAUUUGGCCUGAAGGCCAUAGUUUGCCAAUCCCUACUCUACUUACUGUGUGAAUAAUAAGAUGGGAAGACCUCCUGACUAUCAGCUCUGUAUUCUUCCAAUUUUCAGUUUGUGUUUGGUUCACAUCUUCAAUGUAUGUCUUUAUCAUGGGAUUUAGAAAGUGGAUGUUCAUUCAACCAGGCAUAUAAGAUUUUUCGUUGCCUACAGUUCUGCUCUUAAUUAGCCCUAUCUCCAUUAAGUAUGACUCAAGACUACAUUUCUUGAUAACGUAGAUGAAAUUGGUUAAGAAAAUUAAAAACUGGAAAGAGACAGGCAAUACAAAUCAGUUUUCAAGAAUUUGUGAUGAGCAAUUGAAUCCAGCCUUUUCUUUGAGAUGUGAGCAGACUCUGUUUUGAAUGGCUUCUCUGCGGAUAAGUAGACUUGAAAGCAGGGAAGCUGUCUGAUGCAGCAGAGAGGUUGUGAUGUUGAGGUAAUUAUUGAUGCCACCAAUAUCUGCCUGUGUGACCUUUCCUUGCACAAGUUAUUUAAUUUCCCUGGGAUUUGGUUUCCCCUUAUAUAAAGUAAGGGAUUUGGAUUAGAUGAAUUGGAUUAGAUGAGUCCUAAAUCUGCUCAAGCUUUGAACAUUUAAAAUUUUGUAUCAAGCAAUCUAUGCUGAGAGCUUUACAACAUAUCAGAAAGCAAGCGAUUUAGAGAGAGUUCUGCCUCUUGUGAAGCUCAAAUGCACAUCCUACGAAGGCUUCUCACUUUGGUUUUCCCUAAAACCAGGACAUUUUAGUCAUCUUAGGAAUCUCAAUUAUUAUGAAAAGUUUCCCAACUUAACAGGGACAGAUUUUCAUAAACAUAGAAGGGUGGGGGUGUCAGAAAACUUUACUAACAGAAGGUACUUCAAAUGGAGAAAUAUAGUGGGUGUUUUAGUCAAGGUUAUCCAGGAAAACAGAACCAAUAGAAUAUAUAGAGAGAGACAUAUAUAAGAAGAGAUGUAGAAAUUGGUUCAUGCAAUUAUGGAGACCAAGAAGCUCCGUGAUCUACCACUGCAAGCUGAAGACCAGGAAAGCUGGUGGCAUAACUCAGUCAGAAGGCCUGAGAGUAGGGGGCGAGGAGGUGAGAAAGAGGAUGGUAAUAGUGUAAGUCCCUGUCUGAGUCCAAAAGACGGAUGUCUCAGCUCAAGCAGAGAGAGCAAAUUGGCCCCUUCUUCACCUUUUUGUUCUAUUCAGGCCCUCAAAUAAUUGGAAAAUGCCCAGGCAUGGUGGAGGGCCAUCUGCUUUAUUUUGUUCACCAAGUCAAAUGCUAAUUUCUUCCCAAAAUACCCUCACCGACUCACCAGGAAUAAUGUUUUACCAGCUAUCUGGGCAUCCCUUAGCCCAGUCAAGUUAACACACAAAAUUAACCAUCAUGGUGGAAGGAUGGAGGCAUCACCCUACAGCCAUAGUUCUGAAUCCUGUUUUGGUUUGUACCAGUCUCCAAUGGUUCAUUAACAGUAAAUACUAUGGCAAAUAUGCAAUGAAGAUUUUUUCAUUAAAUAUUUAAAUUUUAGCAUGGCAUUUGAUUUAUACUUUUCAAUUGAUUGGUCCUUCACAACCAUGGAUUCAUAGUUUAAAAUGAGGUCAUGUCAAAAUGGAAGAAUAGUGACUAUGGUAAACACAAUGACUCAGACUAAUCCAAGGAUUCAUAUUGACAAGUGGGCUAUAAAAAUGUAGAUACAUCAGCCUACCAUUUAGCCCAAUAUUAGCAAUUUAGUUUCAGCAAAACAUCACCUAACACAUGAAAUCAGUGUUGUUAACUUGAAUGUUAUUGUUGGUGUUGUCUUGUUUGUAUUUAAUUAGUGCAUUUUUAAUGGUUCUAUAAUAAACAUAACCAUAAGAAAUGUAUGGCUACUUUCA